UCACUAGCGUGUAGCUUGCUGUCUCUGCUUCACCCAUUGUCUUUUGCGCUACCUAAUUGUUUCCUCGGCGGGUCUUGCCCUGCCGAUUGGACAAUUAUCAAACCAUUUUGUAGUUGCAAUCAGCGUCUAGAAAAAUCAUAAUUAGUUA
rnacentral:misc_RNA from 1 species